CCACGCCGUAAACGAUGGAUACUAGGUGUGGGAGGUAUUGACCCCUUCCGUGCCGGAGUUAACACAAUAAGUAUCCCACCUGGGGAGUACGGCCGCAAGGCUGAAACUCAAAGGAAUUGACGGGGGCCCGCACAAGCAGUGGAGUAUGUGGUUUAAUUCGAAGCAACGCGAAGAACCUUACCAGGUCUUGACAUCCCUCGGACCGCCCUGGAGACAGGGUUUCCCUUCGGGGCUGAGGUGACAGGUGGUGCAUGGUUGU
rnacentral:rRNA from 1 species